UAGCUGUGAUCCUUAAUUGCUGAGCCAA
rnacentral:piRNA from 1 species